rnacentral:lncRNA from 1 species
UUCUUUCUGUGUGAGAAGAUGAAAUGCGGUCUCCCACUGUAUUUGCGGCCCGUGUUCUCAGCCUGAUGUCCCCUACUACAAUACCCACACUACUUUCUUUCUUGCUUCCCAGGUGGGAUCUCCAGAAGCUGAGAUGCUGGUCCCGGGAACUUCCAGGGUCACUGCACAGCCUCCAGCCUCACUGAACUGCCACUCAGGGCUUCUCUCUGCUUUUGCUUUUCCUUCAAGGUAGCUUUUCCAUAGAGAGGAUGAAAAGGGUACAGGGGACUUUCAGGGAGGCCAUUCAUUGACCAGGACAAUGGCUCCUGCCAAGACAGCCACCAUGCACUUGGGGCAUCUUCCAGUGAGGUUUCCUCACUGUCAUGCAGGACGCACAGGUCCAAGAGGGGCUGCACCCAGCACAGCUGCAGCUGGGGUUGGGGGGAGGGUGCGGCCAGGAGAUGUUUUUGCACCAGGCUGUAUCACAGUGUUGGGUGUUCGGUGGUGGGACCAAGCUGACCGUCCUAGGUCAGCCCAAGGCCGCCCCCUCGGUCACUCUAUUCCCACCUUCUCCUGAGGAGCUCCAG